CUUGCUAGCAAUAGGACGCACUUGGCCACGACCCACCUGUUUCCCCAGAUAUGUUACAGUAGCCUUACCGAAUUCACAUUUAGCCAAGUUGAGGGUUAACGAAGCGUUUUCCAAACGCUGGAACACCAAUCUCAACGUAGAGAGGUGUUCAGCCCAUGUAGGUGAGUAUAUUACUACGUCGUCAAGGUAAGCUGUACAGUUGGAAACGUCAUCAAACACAAUAUUAACUAAACGCUGAAAAGUAGCGGGUGCAUUGCACAUUCCAAAUGGCAUAACUGUAUACUGUACAAAGUUAUCAGGAGUCACAAAAGCCGAAAUGUCAGAAGCCCGUGGGGUUAGGGGCACCUGCCAAUAACCUUUAAGCAAAUCAAGUUUACUUACAAAAACAGCCGAACCAAUCCGGUCAAUACAGUCUUCUAUCCUAGGCAGCGGAUAGGAAUCUGGCACCGUUACUGCAUUUACUCGACGGUAGUCCGUACAUAAACGGGACGUGCCGUCUGGUUUCGGAACUAAAAUACACGGGGAGCUCCAAGCACUAUGACUACGUUUUGCCAUGUCAUGUUUUAACAAGUAUUCAACCUCACCUUUCAUUAACUCACGUUUUUUUGUGUUUACCCGAUAGGGAUGUUGGCGAAUAGGAGAUGUACUACCUACAUCCACAUCGUGCGCCAAAACAGAUGUGCUCUUAGGUACAUCUUGGAACACAGUAAGAAAAGAAUGUAUUAGAGACACAAGAUCAUCUUUUUGACUGUCAUCCAAAUGUUCCAUUAAUGAAGGUCCACAGUCGGCACAGGCACCACCAACGCCAUGCUAGACCCCGCAGACUGAACCGGAGCACUAGAGGGGUUGUCGGAAGAAUUACGCACAUGAUAGGCUUUAAGCAUAUUGACAUGACACAAACGAGAAGAGCGCCUGCGAUCUGGUGUUUUGAUAAUAUAAUUAGUAUCACUAACUUUGCGCUCCACAACAUACGGUCCAGAAAAACUGGCAGACAGUGAUGAACCUGGGAUUGGUAACAAAACCAGUACUUGAUCCCCGGGCAAAAACGCACGGUCUUUUGCUUGUUUAUCAUACUGUUUUUUCAUACGUGACUGAGAGGAAGAGAGAGACUCCUGAGCUAGCAUGCAGGCAGCAUGCAGCCUCUCCCGCAUCUGACUUACAAAGUGUAACACAUUCUUAGGGGUACUACUAGGCACAUCAGAUAAAACGCGCUCCUUUAACACUUUUAACGGACCCCUAGGUGUGUGUCCGAACACAAGGUCAGCAGGGCUGAACCCCAACGAUUCCUGCACUGUUUCCCUAACAGCAAACAAAACAAAGGGCACCCCCUCAUCCCAAUCAGCACCCGUUUCCAUACAAUACUUCCUCAGCAUGGUUUUGAG
ensembl:lncRNA